CAUGGGCGCGCGCGCGCAUGGACAAUUACGUUCUUGCAUUGUGGCUGCGUCGUCGCUGCGUGUGCGUCAUUAAAGGAAUAACUCCUGGUUUGCAACCAAUGCUGCUGGAAUAGUCUCUAUAUUGGACAUAUUCUCCCAUCUGAAGGGCAACCUCUGAGUGACAUGCUUCACCAAAGAAAAAAGUGCAAGGCAAAAAAGCUGUGUACAUGUUAAACAAAUGACCAAUCAGCCUUCAACACACCAACAGCAAAUUGCUACUAUAGAAGAGCCUUUUAUUCAGCAUUGUCUAUGCAGAAGAGCUUAAA